rnacentral:rRNA from 1 species
UACGUAGGGGGCAAGCGUUGUCCGGAAUUAUUGGGCGUAAAGAGCUUGUAGGCGGUUUGUCGCGUCUGCUGUGAAAUUUCGGGGCUCAACCCCGAACUUGCAGUGGGUACGGGCAGACUAGAGUGUGGUAGGGGAGACUGGAAUUCCUGGUGUAGCGGUGAAAUGCGUAGAUAUCGGAAGGAACACCAGUGGCGAAAGCGGCUCUCUGGGACGGUACUGACGCUGAGACGCGAAAGCGUGGGGAGCGAACAGG